rnacentral:lncRNA from 1 species
UGUUCAGGUUUUAGAUCCUGACCUGAAUUUUAGAAUAAAUAUACAAAAAAGGAUUUUUUUUUUUUUUUUUUUUAGUUCAUCUAGGGGUGAUUGAGGCUACAAAAUUUAUGCCACGUUUUCAACUGUCAAGGCUGCUUUCAGAAUCCAGAGGAGGCCUGGGAAGAACUUCAGCAAGGUCUUGCUGGGAUUUAGCCCCCUGAAGUAUAGAAGAUGACACUUGCUGACAGGGGAGGAAACCGAGGAGGCAGCACAGAGGAGGAUGGUGUUUGUGCAGAGAUGAGAGGGGUGCAGCUCACCAACCCCAAGGAGUGUUCCAUGCCAGAGAUGGAAAGGGACAGCUAGGACAUUAUCCCAGACCCCUCCAUAUCUCCUCCAAACAAGCAGGCCUCCAACUCCAGUUCAGGAAAUUGGCAGCUCAUAAAGGAUGAGUUGAUUUAGAGCCUUUCCCUGUGAAGAGGUUGGAAGAGCCAGGGUUCAAAGGCUUUGAGAUAAACCAACAACUGGGCCCCUGCUGGGAAGUCAUCAGUGCUUGAGGGUCCCAUCCAUUACUUUUGUAAAGACACAUACUCUGUGGACUUAUAAAUAAAACCUCAAAGGUGACGACAAUCCAGCAGCUGUGUAGAUGGUUGCAUCCUUAUGAACUGUGGACAGAAGCUGAAGUGGACAGGAGUCAGGGCAACUUUCUGGACAGCAGAUUCAACCUGUUUCCUAGACUUUCCAUCACCACCAGUGAAUUCCGAGUGACAGUAGUAUGGAAUUUGGAAGAAUGGAAGAGAAACUUAAGUAGAGAGAUGGUGAAAGAGAAGAAAAAAUGAAGAAAGAUGCUUGCAAAAAUACUGCCAUGGGUCCUGAGAUGAAGAUUCUGGGAUGGAGCUUGCAAGACCCGCUGGUAAAAUUGAAGACUAAUCCAACGAAGAAAGAAUCUGCACCUUGGGAGGGACAGCUGAGUAUCACGGCCAACACUUGUUCCCGGGGUUCCUUUUUCCCUUGA